rnacentral:rRNA from 1 species
GAUGAACGCUGGCGGCGUGCCUAAUACAUGCAAGUCGAGCGAACAGAUGAGGAGCUUGCUCCUCUGACGUUAGCGGCGGACGGGUGAGUAACACGUGGAUAACCUACCUAUAAGACUGGGAUAACUUCGGGAAACCGGAGCUAAUACCGGAUAAUAUAUUGAACCGCAUGGUUCAAUAGUGAAAGACGGUUUUGCUGUCACUUAUAGAUGGAUCCGCGCCGCAUUAGCUAGUUGGUAAGGUAACGGCUUACCAAGGCAACGAUGCGUAGCCGACCUGAGAGGGUGAUCGGCCACACGGGAACUGAGACACGGUCCAGACUCCUACGGGAGGCAGCAGUAGGGAAUCUUCCGCAAUGGGCGAAAGCAUGACGGAGCAACGCCGCGUGAGUGAUGAAGGUCUUCGGAUCGUAAAACUCUGUUAUUAGGGAAGAACAAAUGUGUAAGUAACUAUGCACGGCUUGACGGUACCUAAUCAGAAAGCCACGGCUAACUACGUG